rnacentral:rRNA from 1 species
CGAACGCUGGCGGCGUGCUUAACACAUGCAAGUCAAGGGGAAAGUUUUGCUUCGGCGAGAUGAGUAUACUGGCGGACGGGUGAGUAACGCGUAGGCGACCUACCCAUGAGAGAGGGAUAACCCAGCGAAAGUUGGACUAAUACCUUAUAAUACUAUUUAAUUGCAUGAUUUUAUAGUCAAAGGGUGCCAAUUUAUUGGUAUUGCUUAUGGAUGGGCCUGCGUUCCAUUAGUUAGUUGGUAGGGUAACGGCUUACCAAGGCGACGAUGGAUAGCUGGUUUGAGAGAGCGAUCAGCCACACUGGGACUGAGAUACGGCCCAGACUCCUACGGGAGGCAGCAGUGAGGAAUAUUGCGCAAUGGGCGAAAGCCUGACGCAGCAACGCCGCGUGGGGGAUGAAGCUUUAUGGAGUGUAAACCCCUGUAAGUAGGGACGAAAGUUACCUAUACGAAUAGGAUGGGUAUUUGACGGUACCUACAGAGUAAGCUCCGGCUAACUCC